AUAACAGGAUGGAGAAAGUUGGCCUGGGCGUGCACGAUGGCCCACCUCCACCAUCUGCUGUGCAGUCAGAAAGGUGAGUGUUGUUCAGGUUCUCGGUGUAUGUUUUGCUGAUUUUGAGAUUAUUUAAGACGUUAGUUUACACUCAAGACUAAAGCCAUCCUUUGUUCUUUCACAGGACCCCGGAAGUGGCCCUUGACGCUGUGUUCAGUGCUCGGCUUUUGGGAAAUGAAACUCCAGAGCCUGAGCAUGAACAGGUGUCCUCAGAGGAUGAGGAGGAAACUCUGUUUGGGUAUCCUAAAGACUCCAAGAUCCUCAGGUUCUUCAUGAAGACUGCUGAGGAGCUGGUCAGAUGGCUGGAGUCUACAUUUCUUCCUCAAUUCCCUGUAUGGUUCCUCUACGAGCAUCUGGUGGGUCGUUUGAUGGAAGAAGUGAAGAUGCUGGCCUGGAUUAAUAUUACCUUUGAGGCAUCUGAUGCGCAGCUCUUCCCUGACGAGGACGAUGCCGUGUCUUAUAUUAUCAGUGAAGUGCAUGAAGACCUCUUGAACAAGCCCUGGAGAAUGGAAGUAUCUUGUUUCAACGAGGGACUCCUAUAUUACAUCACCUACGCUGUCAUGAACGCUUUCAUUAAUUACACGAUGUUCUGCUGUAAAGCAGCAAGAACAUCCCCAGACACUGACCUUGAGGAGGAAGGAUCACAGGGGGAGCCUGAGAUGCAGGAACUCUGCAGCACCGCCCUCAGUCAGCGGAGUCCAUCAAAGUGCGAGGAACUGAUCCAAGAACUUGGUGGAUCUUCUGAUUCGAGUGACGAGUGCUCUGAGACCCUCACCGGCUUCCAAACUUACAAGGACAGGCUGGUGAAAAUACCAAUCAGGAGCCUAAUGACAGCGUCUGAGGACCCGGAGGUGGAGAAUCCUGAAGACCUGGAGGUUCCUGCCUGUGCUAAUGGUACUACAGGUUCCACCACAACCAGAACAAAGUGGAAGAAGCUCCGUUCUCGUAUCUCCAGCUUCGUGAGACGAGUCUUCCUCUUCGGAUGCGUCCCAUCUAGUCGUUUCCAGUUCCACCCACUAGUUAGGACUCCCCCAAGGCUUCUUCUGAGACCUGCUAAACCAACCACCGCUUCUUUUCGACCUGCCGUUCACGCAACAUCACAGGACAGCCGAACGCGCAGAUCUGUUACGUCAGCUAACAGACGCCUGCACUGACUUAUAUCGCGUUGAGUGAUGGGGGGAGAAGCAGGGCCAUCCUACCCACCCUGAGAGAGCGAAGCCAAUUUUGCUGUUUUGAGCUCCCAGCUGUGGACGGUUGUAGCAUCACUAGUAAUCGAACUCGCGAUUUCCUGAUAAUGGGGACACUCGGGAGCUGAUUAAUCCAGGUUAAAAUACUCAGGCUGUGACUAAUCCAAGUUCAGAUAUUCAGGCUGUGAAUCAUCCAAUUUAAGCUUACCCUGCACAGAUAUGGGCUUGAUUUGAUGACAAACGAUUCACAGAUCACUGUAAAAUUUCCUGUUGUGGGACUAAUAAAGGAGUAUCUCAUUUUAUCUUAUCGAAUUAGUAAAACACAAGCAAGACACACUCAAUAAAGGAGUGGUUCUGCAGGUGGGGAC
ensembl:lncRNA